AUAAAAAAAUUUAUAAAAUUGAAUAUUUUAAGGGAUAAGCUUUAAAAUAAAUUUUUAAAAAUAAAUAAAAAUUUUAUAAAAAUGUAUGCUUAGAAUUAGUAAUCAUUAAUAAUUUUGUUAUAAAUUAUUUUUAAAAUAAUAUUAUUUAUUAUAUUUUAAUUUUUUAUAAAAAUUUUUUUAUAAAUGUUAUAUAAAAAGUAAUAAUGAUAAAAUUAGUAUAAAUUUAAAUGUUAAAAUAAAUUUAUUUGAUAAGUUUAUAUAAAGAACUCGGCAAAUAUAUUACUCGCCUGUUUAACAAAAACAUGUCUUUUUGAGUUAUUUUUAAAGUCUGACCUGCCCACUGAAUAAUUUUUAAAUGGCCGCAGUAUCCUAACUGUGCAAAGGUAGCAUAAUCA
rnacentral:rRNA from 1 species